rnacentral:lncRNA from 1 species
UAAUGAUUUCAGACACAAUGUCGUUUAUCAAAUAGUCACGGAGAACAUGCGCCCCGCCCGAGGAUCGAACUCGCGACCCCGCGAUCCGUAGACCAAUGCUCUUACCUACUGAGCUAAGAUUUAGUAAUAAGAACAUAAUUAUUGAGAGGCAUACCAAUAGGUAGAUAAAAUUUACUAAUGGUCGUACAAUUCUCUUUAUCAGCAAUAUCAGUACCACAUGUUUGUUUUUAUAAACAGAACUACUGGCCCCUUAAAACUCAAAAGAAUCUUCUCACAGAUAACAUCAGCAUCAGAAUGUAUGAUGAGUGGUUGAGGUUAUCUACAGGUUACAUAAUAACAGUUCAGUCAAUCAUUCUGUAGUAACCGCCUACUGUGCUCUUACCGAUGUUAUUAUCUAGGAAAUGGCAUAGGAUUCGCCAAGUAAAUGUCUAAAUCUAGUGCAUGUACAGUUUGCAAACUAUGUGACGGAAUUAACCAGUGAUUUAACUCAAUAAAUGAUGUUUCAUGUGAUACUACGUUUUUGGAUUUACCGGGAGAAGCCAAUAAAAAAGGUUGAUAUUAAACCUUCAUAUAUUGCUACCUGACAGGAUGGGAAAAGAUCUGGUAGACUGGCAAAAGAAGAAUGUGAAUAUCUAAUACACUGACAAUGUGGAAUCAUGAAAUAUUUUCUCUAAAAGAAAUAACGUUAUGCUUAAUUGUUUAACCAUUUGCCAAUUAAAGGACAGAAACAUGUAGAUACUUAAUAAUAAUAUUACAAAUGUAUAUUGUUGAGUAAUAUCAAAGCUCAUAUGAAAUUAAUAGAUAUUAAAAAAUGUUUUGUUU